UUGAUUGUUAUGCUUUGUUACAGGCAUUCCUCAUUUUACUGCACUUUGUUUUAUUUCACUUUCCAGAUACUGCGUUUUUAUCAACAUUGAGGCAAGGCCCACACCAGCAAAAAGAUUAUGACAUGCUGAAGACUCAGAUGAGUAGCAUUUUUUUUGAACAAUAAAGUGUUUUUAAUGAAGGACUAAUUCAGAAGUAUGCUAGCCCUGGCUCAAACUGGCUCAGGAGAGCAGAUUGUGCCCAUCUCUUCCCAACUACAUGUUCAAUAGUUGGUAGCUGGAAAUGGGCCAUCGUGGAAGCAUUUACAUGAUAGAAAGUAGCAAAGGCUACAGAACAGGACUUUUGUCCUGUGAAGAGCAGCACACCAAUGAUCAGUACUUUCUCUUCCUGGACAAUGCACAGGUCUUAGAAUACCUUGACUCUUGUUAUCCUCCACAGUUAUAUGCUGUUCUUGUCAUUCAUUUUAAUUCUAUAGUAAAUAUCACAUAUUUACCACUU